rnacentral:rRNA from 1 species
GACCUCGGAUCAGGUAGGAAUACCCGCUGAACUUAAGCAUAUCAAUAAGCCGGAGGAA